CCCAUCUUUUAAAAAAUAUAUUGCUUAAAAAUAAAUAUUUCUCAAAGUACUUCUUAGAGUUCAAAAAACCUAAUUAUUUACAAGUAUAAACUAUAAUAAAGAUUGCAGUUGUUGCUCACCUGUUAUUUCUUGGACAAAUUGCAUCCAUUUUACUUCUAGGGCUAGAAAACUUAUAUCACUAUUAGCUGUUUCUCUGAAAUCUUGUCAUGUUGAGUUUGAUUGCCUGUCUAUAAAGAUGGGUAAUAGUGUGACUAUAUGCUAUUAAAAGUAUCUGUUGGUUUGGACAUAAUAGCAAUGUGGUUUGGUGGUGUUUGCAAAAGUGAUUGAUGGAUAUGGCCAUGUAGUUGUGCAGUAAUGGAAGUGAGAGAUAGGAAAGACUUGUCAGAGCAUCUUAUGCCAGUGUGGGUUUGUUUCCUAAGGACUAAUCAUUUGCCAUAACAGUACUGAGAAGUAAAUUAUUUGGAGGCAUAGGAUAAUGAGGGUGUAUUAUUAUGUUUUAUCUUUUCUAAAGUAAGAAUUCCUCUGUGUGUUUUAUUAGCAUGAAAAUAGAUAGCAAUUGUACAAUAAAUACUGUUUAAAGAAGAGCUUCCUUCAUGUUUUAUAAACCGACAUAAUAAUAUUCUUCAUGUUUAAUGAAGUUUGUGUAGGAAAAUAGUGUGACUGUUUUUGAUUAGAGGCAUAUUUUGUUCAAGAAUUGGAUGAAGAUAUUCUUCCUAAUCUGAUUGUGUUCCCAGACUAGUUGUUAAUUAUUUGGAAUUACGAGUCGUGAUGGUGAAGUUUCCACCACAUCCAGAAAAGCCUGUAAUUUUAACCCUCUGGUGGUUUGUUUUCUGAAGUGAAGAACUAAUGCAGAGUUCUGUCACUAAAAACACAGCAGUGUGUAGGAGAGAUUGGAAGUAAGGUUGUGGUGAGAAUUGGCAGGAGGACUCUUCUCCCUACAUUCCUCCUCCUUUGUCACUGUACUAGCUGGUAACAGCUGGGCCAUAGGAGUGGAGACUAAGAAUGAAAGGAGAUACCAUUGCUUAGCACUCCUUUUCCUCUUUUCCCCCUUCUGUUGGCAACCCUUGAUGGGGAGGAAACAAAAUGUCUAUUUAGCAGCCCAGUUAUCCCAUAUUAAGCAGCUAUCAAAUUAAUGUAAGUACACCUGCAGGGUAUUUCCAGUGUGAAUUACAGAAUACUUUAAAAAUUAGGUGUAUCUCAUUUAUCUAUCAUUAGGGCAUAUCAUUUCAAAUGCUUAUAAUGAACUAUGAUUUUUAUCAGCAUUUCCAAGAUUUGAGUCAAACACUUUGAAAAUUCAUAGGGAGUCUCUUAAUAGCUGUUUGAAGAGGAAAACCAAAUCAAACCAAAAGAAAGUAGAGAGGAAGGUGAUUCUCAGCACAGCCCUUUGCAUGUGUCACCACAGUUGACCUCUGGAAUCAGCCUUUCACAUUACCUUGCCCUCUGCUACCACAUUGAUUUUGUACCUCUCCAUGCAGUCUGAUUUAAGUCCAUGAACUGGUUAGCUGCUAAUUGGUGAAAUAUGCCUUUUUAAAUAUGAACUUGUUAGCCUGGCUAUUUCCUGAAAACCAUUUGGAGUUUAUUAAAAAUGGAGACCAUUUUUAUUGAAGCCAUAAUUGUCAUGGGCGAUACACAUGAGACAUCACCCUGUGGCUGGUCUGUCAGACUUUCAUGAGCCUUCAGAAAUUAAGGGGAAUGAGUGAGUUUGUUUUCUUGUAAGCUGUCACAUCAUUCUCUUCAAGGUGUCAGCCUGAGUUGUGCAGAGAUAAAUAUUAGAAAUGUUCACCUUCUCCAGUUCAUUUUUUUUACCCUUACAUAAUUUAGUAGUAUGAUUGCUUUUCCUCUAACAUAUAAUUUUGUUGUACUUUCAACUUUUGAAAUGUGAGCCUGUGUUUUAGACUUGGGAAACCUUAUAGGUAGCUCCAGUAUAGAAAGCUCAGCCUAUAGACAGUUUAAUUAACUUAAAUAAAACAAAACUAUAAUUUUUUGCUAAGGAAUAGAAUUUCUGAAUGGCGAUGGAAAGGAAGAGGUUGAACUUUGUAAAAUAAGCCAACCCAGAUAGAAAUUGUCGGUUAAUUUAAAAUAUUUUUUAUUGACAGUGUUACAUAUGAGCAUCACUGUUGUAGGAAUGGUGAAUCAAUGAUUCAUAAAUCUUUUCUUAAAGGAGUGUCUAGUAAGGGCUAUAAGGCACGUUCAUAAAGAACAACAGAAAGCAGAAAGUCUUAAGUGUCUUGUGAAAAAAAGUGCAAAUAAAUUACAAGAGGGAGAAUUACUUUUUAGCUGGAGAGGAAAUUUGGAUAGACUUGAAGCAAACUGUUGUUUGAGCAAGAUCAAAAGGUGGGAUAAAUUUUGGAGUUAAGGAGGAAAGAUAUUCCAGGAUCAUAUCUGUAGCAGCACAAGUAGAUAACAUAGAAUAGUGAAUUUCUGAGUUUCCUAUUAUGUAGGAGGCACAGAAGGUAGAGUUAGUGUGUGUGUAUGUUAUAUAGGUACUGAAUGAGACUAGAUAAGCCUCUAGGAUAAGGGAGCUUGACUGUUAGUUCAAGGAAUUUGUUCUGUAUUAAAAAGGCAUCAAAAAGCUAUUCAAAGCUUUGAAGUAUACUUCAAAGUAUACUUGGGAGUAUACUUUGUAUACACCAGAGUAUACUUGGGCAGAAACUGAAGAUGGGCUAUCAGCAGGGCAGCAGUUAGAUUAUUGUAGUAAUCUUGAUGAGACUGGAUGAGGGGCUGAGGGUAGUUUAGUAGUGAUUAAAUAGAGAUAAUAAAUAUGUGAGAUCCUGCCAAAUCAAUCAAUAUAGGACUUGGCAGUUAAUUGAUAUGGGGGUGAUAAAAGAAGGAGCAGGCUCUAGAAAGUUUGUGAAUUACUGGCCCAUUAGAUAUUAAUACUUUGCAUUUGUAUAUGGAGCUUUAGGAUUUAUAAAACACUAUUAUAUGAGAGCUUUCAUAACUCUCUAAGUUAAAGUUAUAGUACAAUUAUCCUUAUUAUGGAUGAGGAAAUAAAGAAUUUAGGGAUUUUUCUGUGGUUACUACGGAGAGUAAAUGCAGAUCUGGGCCUGUAACUAGUCUUCUAGUUUCUUGGCCAGUACUUCUUUUAUACCCUUUCUUGUGAACCUAGUCCCAAUGUUUUUUUGAUUUUUUUUUUUUUUUUUUUUUUUGUUACAGAGGCUUGCUCUGUCACCCAGGCUGGAGGUGCAGUGGCAUGAUCUUGGCUCACUACAACCUUUGUGUCCCAGGUUCAAGAGAUUCUCAUUCAUGGCUCAGCCACCCAGAUAGCUGGGAUUACAGGUGUAGGCCACCAUACUCAGCUAAGUUUUGUAUUUUUAAUAGAGAUGGGGUGUCACCACCUUGGCCAGGGUGUGGCCUCUAACUCCUGACCUCAAGAGAUCCACCUGCUUUUGCCUCCCAAAGUGCUGGGAUUAUAGGCAUGAGCCACCACCCCCGGCCACCACUAAGUUUCUGAAUGUGGGCAAAUUGCUUUGUCUCUUGGUGCUUUAGUCUCUCUAGAUGUCCUUAUCCUUUCUAUACAAGGAGACUUUGAAGAUAAAAUGCAAUAUUUUUGGUUUUAUAAACUCUAUUCAGCAAAUAAUGAGCACUAAAUACUAUGAUUGGUACAGGGGAUCGCAAGGUAUUUAAAAUAAAAUCUCUGCUUUUUUUGUGUUUCACAGAUUGGAGGACAAAAAUGCAGAUAAAUAAUUGUAAUAACUGCAGUAAGUGUUCUAAUGCAAGUUUGUGCAUUUAGCUCUAGAGUCAUAGAGUAAGGGGCAGUCAGGCAGUCAGUGAAGGCUUCCCAAGGAGAUGUAGACGAAGUCCUGAAGCAUGAUUUGUGGUUUAAUGGUAGUAAAAUGUUAAACAAGACAGAGAGUAAAAUAAAUGUAUCAUCAUCAUCAUCAUGAUAUUAGCUAUUAUUUGUUGAGAAGCUUAUAGUUCUGACCACAUCUCUGCAAGAUAUUUUCAUUUUGGAAGUGAGAAAAUAGGUUUAAAAGGUUGUGAUUUGAUCACAGUAUAUGAUGAAGUCAGUAUGGUACAUUAGGGAGAUGCAAAUAGUUAAGUAUCACUGGAGAAUAGCACAUGAGUGAUAGAAAGGAUAAAGAUAAAACUGAAAAAGGAACUCAAGUAUACUAUUCUAGAUAUUAGAAAAUAAAAAUAAUAGAACUAGUGGUUUCAUGACAGUCAAGGUAGACUAUUUUAACAUAUAUUGAGAGACAAAGCAUACCUAGUAAAAUAUGCCCAAUUAAACAUUGGUUACUGUCUAGGCCAAGAUGUUUUCACUGAUCAAUUCUCUCAAAAUUUAAGGAAGAUAUAAGACUAAGUUGACAGAAUUCAGAGAAGAGAGGAGUAGGAAGCAUUUUCCAACUCAUUUAUAAAACCAGCAUACCUCCAAUACUAGUAUGUGGCAAAGAUUUUAUGAAAUACUAGCAAGUGAAAUCCAGAAAUAUGUAAAAAGGAUAAUACAUCAUUACUAAGCAGCAUUUACCUCAGAAAUUCAGGAUUGGAUUAAUAUUUUAAAAGCCAUAUGAUUAUUUUGAUAGAUGUGGAAUAAACACUUGACAAAAUUUAGUAACCAUUCAGAGUAAAGAACUAUUAGCAGGCUGGGUGUGGUGGUUCACACCUGUAAUCCUAGCACUCUGGGAGACCAAGGCAGGCAGAUCACCUGAGGUCAGGAGUUUGAGACCAGCCUGGCCAACAUAGUGAAACCUCAUCUCUACUAAAACUACAAAAAUUAGCUGGGCAUGGUAGUGUGUACCUGUAGUCCCAGAUACCUGGGAGGCUGAGGCAGAAAAUUGCUUGAACCUGGGAGGUGGAGGUUGCAGUGAACUGAGAUCAUGCCAUUGCACUCCAACCUGGGCGACAGGGUGGAACUCUUGUCUCAAAAAAAAAAAGAAGAGUACCUAUGAAAAACCUGCUAAAAUCAUGCUUCAUGGUAAAAUAUGAAAUGCUCUUCCCAAAGAUUGGGGAAAAAGCAAGAAUACCCACUCUCUUCAUUCUUAUUAGCAUUGAAGUAGAAAUCCUAGCCAAUGCAGUAAGGGAAGAAAAAUAAACAAAAUGUUUGAAAGUCAGAAAGAAAGAAGUAAAACUGUUUCUUUUUGCAGUUGACAGCGUUUGUUUAUGCAGAAAAACCCAAGGAACCUAGAAAAUAACUAUUAGAACUAAUAUAUUUAACUAAUUCGUUUAGCAAGACAUAAGGUCAAUAUACAAAAAUCAUCGUAUUUUUAUAUACUCAUAGUAAAUGAAAUUUUAAAAAUUUCAUCAAAAAUGGCACUAAAAAACAUGGAAUACUUAGAAAUAAAUUUAACAAAAAAUGUAUAAGACCAGUGCCUUAAAGAUCGUAAAACAUUGCUGAGAGAAACUGUAGAAAACCUGAAAAAUAGAAUAUAUACCAUGCUCAUGGACUGGAUGGCUCAAUGUGGUUAAGACGUCAGUUCUCCCUAUGUGCAGUUCCAAUCAUAAUAUCGAGCAGGCUUUUUGUAGAAAAUGCAAAUCUGAUUUCUAAAAUUUAUGUAGAAACAAAAAGGACCCUUAUUUACAAAGAAAUUGUAAAUAAGAAGGACAGAGUUUGCAGACUUAUAUUGUUUUGGUUGCUUUCAAUAAGACUACAGUAACCAAGGCAGUAUGUGUAGUAAGUUGAAUAGUGUCCCCCAAAAUUCAUGUCCACCUGGACUCUCAGGAUGUGGCUUUAUUUGGAAAUAGAGUCUUUGUAGAUGCAACUAGUUAAGAUGAGGCUACAUAGAGGAUUAUGGUGUACCUUAAAUCAAUGACUAGUGAGAAGGAAAUCCUUCUCACUCUCCUUAUGUGAGAAGGAAAGGACACAGAGACAAAGACACUGAGGGAAUAAGCUUAUAUGAUGAUGUAAUUAGAGACUGAAGUGAUGUAUCUGAAUGUAAUGGAACCCCAGGGAUUGUUAGAAGCCACCAGAAGCUAGGAAGAGGCCAGGAAGCAUUCUUCCUUAGAACCUUCAUAGGGAACAUGCUAUUACCAACAACUCGAUUUCAGAUUUCUGGUCUCCAGAACUGUGAGAUAAUAAAUUUUUGUUGUUUUAUGCCAUCUGGUUUGUGGUUCUUUGUCACAGCAGCUCAAAGAAACAAAUACAGUGAGAUACUGACAUAGCAAUCAAGUUGAUCAAUGGAACCAAGUAGUAAACCCAGAAACAGACCUAUGUUUAUACAAUUAUUUGAUUUUCAACAAAGAUGUCAAAGCAAUGCAAGGGAAAAGAAACGUCUUUUCAACAAAUGGUGCUGGUGAAACUGGAUUUCCAUGUGGGCUUAAAAAAAAUCACCCCUUCCCACACACUAUAUAUAGAAAAUAAUUCUAACUAAAAGCAAAAACUAUAAUGCUUCUAGAAGAAGACAUCUUUGUAGCUUAGGAGUGGACAAAGAUUUCCUAGGACAUGGGAAACAUUAGCUGUAAAAGAAAAAAAUUCAUAAAUAAUUGUGAUGGAAGGACAUUGGGAAAAUAGGCAAGCUAAAGACAGGGAUGCCAGGCUCAGUGGCUCAUGUUUGUUAUCCCAGCACUUUGGGAAUUCAAGGCAGAGUGAUUGCUUGGGCCCAGGAGUUCAAGACCAGCCUGAACGACAUAGGGAGACCCUGUCUCUACAAAAAAAAUUUUUUUAAUUAGCUAAGCAUGGUGGCACAUGCCAGUGGUCCCAACUACUUGGGAGGCGGAGGUGGAAGGAUCACUUGGAGGCCAGGUGUGGUGGCUCACACCUGUAAUCUCAGCACUUUGGGAGGCUGAGGCAGAUGCAUUGCUUGAGCCCAGGAGUUUGAGACCAGCCUAGGCAAUGUGGCAAAACCCGGUUUCUAUUAAAAAUCCAAAAAUUAGCCAGGCAUGGUGGUGCACACCUAUAGUCCCAGCUACUUGAGUGGCUGAGGAUAGGAGGAUCGAUGCCCAGAAGGUCAAGACUGCAGUGAGUUGUGAUCGCAUCACUAUAAUCUAGCUUUGGUGACACAGAGAGAUCCUGUCUCAGAUAAAUAAAUAGAAAUAAAUAAAUCAAUGUUAAGUCAGGGAGAAAUAUUUGCACAAUCUUUAUCUGACAAGGGACAUAGAUCCGGAAUAUAUAAAGACCACAAUUGAAAAAUAAAAUGACAGCCAACCUUAUUAGAAAAUGAGCAAGAAUUUAGAAGACAUUUCACAAAGAAAGGUAUACAAAUGGCCAAAAAGCACAUUAAAAAUGCUUGAUAUCAUUUGUCACUGGAGAAAUGCCAGUUACAGCUAGAAUAAGAUAUUAAUUAGCCUGCAGGCGCUAAAAAGGCUAAAAUUUAAAAGACCAAAUGUAGCUAGAGAUAUGGAGCAACUCUCAUACUUUGAUAUGUAGGUAGAGAGUAUGAGCAACUCUCAUACUUUGUUGUUGGGAGUUUAAAAUGUACUACAAUGUUGGAAAAAGGUCUGGCUGUUUUUUAGGAAACUAAAUAUGUAUUUACCCUAUUACACAUUAAUUUCACUCUUUCUGUACCUACCUAUGAGAAAUGAAAAUAUAUGCACAUAAAAGGAUUUGUAGAAGAAUGUUUAUAGCAGCUUAUAAUAGCUAAAACCUGGGAACAGCCCAGGUAUCUGUCAACAGAGAAUGAAUAAACAAAUUGUGGUGUAAUCAUACAAUAAAAUAAUUUUUGUAUUUUUAGUAGACAUGGAGUUUCACCAUUGUGCCCAGGCUAGUCUUGAACUCCUGACCUCAAGUGAUCCACCUGUCUUGGCUUCCUAAAGUGCUGCGAUUAUGGGCAUGAGCCAUGAUGCCCAGCCUGAACCCUAGUUGUUGAUAUGCAAGCUGAAGUGAUGGGGUGGUGUUUACUGAUGCCUGUAACUUACCUCCAAAUGCAUUAAAAAAUGCACUGAUAGAUUAGAAGAAUGGACAGAUGACAACAUGACAAAAGCAAAUAUAAAAUGUUAAUCAUAUAAAUUAAAUAGUAUUUGAGUGUUCAGCAUAUAGUUAUUUUAACUUGCUGUAUUUUUGAAAGUUUUUAUAAUGUUGGGAAAAAUGGUUAUUAAUGGGGAAUGAUUACAAAAAUUAUUGUACAUCUCUACAUUAGAAUACUUGUAGCAUUUAUCAUUGUAUAAUAUGGAAAGACUUUUUAGGCUUUCUCUUAAGGCAAAAACAAGUAGCAGAAAAGUAUGAUAUUUUAAAAAUUAACAUAACAAAGACUGUGUUUGUAUGCACAUAUACCUAAGUUCUCAGAAAAAGUUUGGGAAGGAAAUAUGCAUCAGUUUAUGUCUGAAAAGAGGAUAGCCUGGCAGUAGGUUUAUGGGAUAUUUUUUUAUUUUUUGUUUACAUAAACUUUCUUCAGUGAAAAUACAUGACAUUUUAAAAAACAUUCUGCCUUUAGUGAUGUAAAAAAUGCCUUUUUUAUCAUAUUAGAUGAGAAAAAUAUACUAAAUUGUCUGAGCAACAUAAUUUCAACUGAUAAAUGCACCUAUGUAAGAGGAAAAAGAAACUUAGAUGUAAAUAUUGGUUAUAUUAAUAUUAGGAACAUAGGUCAUCUGCCCACCUCGACCUCCCAAAAUGUUGGGAUUACAGGUGUUGAGCCACCAGGGCUGGCCAGGUCAUUUUUUUUUUUUCUUUUACUCUCUUGUAUUUUUUUUUUUUUUUUUGCAUUUUAGGUUUUGGGGUACAUGUGCAGAACAUGCAAGAUAGUUGCAUAGAUACACACAUGGCAGUGUGUUUUGCUGCCUUCCUCCCCUUCACCCACAUUUGGCAUUUCUCCCCAGGCUAUCCCUCCCCAGCUCCUCCCCCCGCUGGCCCUCUCCUAUUCCCUCCAAUAGACCCCAGUGUUUGUACUCCCUUCCCUGUGUCCAUGUGUUCUCAUUAUUCAUCACCUGCCUAUGAGUGAGAAUAUGCGGUAUUUUAUUUUCUGUUCUUGUGUCAGUUUGCUGAGAAUGAUGUUCUCCAGAUUCAUCCAUGUCCCUACAAACGACACGAACUCAUCAUUUUUGAUUGCUGCAUAAUAUUCCAUGGUGUAUAUGUGCCACAUUUUCCCAAUCCAGUCUAUCAUCGAUGGGCAUUUGAGUUGGUUCCAGGUCUUUGCUAUUGUAAACAGUGCUGCAGUGAACAUUUGUGUGCAUGUGUCCUUAUAGUAGAACGAUUUAUAGUCCUUUGGAUAUAUACCCAGUAAUGGGAUUGCUGGGUCAAAUGGAAUUUUUAUUUCUAAGGCCUUGAGGAAUCGCCACACUGUCUUCCACAAUGGUUGAACUAAUUUACACUCCCACCAACAGUGUAAAAGUGUUCCUAUUUCUCUACAUCCUCUCCAGCAUCUGUUGUCUCCAGAUUUUUUAAUGAUUGCCAUUCUAACUGGCAUGAGAUGGUAUCUCAGUGUGGUUUUCAUUUGCAUCUCUCUGAUGACCAGUGAUGAUGAGCAUUUUUUUAUAUGAUUGUUGGCCUCAUGUAUAUCUUCUUUUGUAAAGUGUCUGUUCAGAUCCUUUGCCCAUUUUUGAAUGGGCUUGUUUGUUUUUUUUCUUGUAAAUCUGUUUGAGUUCUUUGUAAAUUCUGGAUAUCAGCCCUUUGUCAGAUGGGUAAACUGCAAAAAUUUUUUCCCAUUCUGUUGGUUGCCGAUUCACUCUAGUGACUGUUUCUUUUCCCGUGCAGAAGCUGUGGAGUUUGAUUAGGUCCCAUUUGUCUAUUUUGGCUUUUGUUGCCAAUGCUUUUGGUGUUUUGUUCAUGAAGUCCUUGCCUACUCCUAUGUCCUGAAUGGUUUUGCCUAGAUUUUCUUCUAGGGUUUUUAUGGUGCCAGGUCUUAUGUUUAAGUCUUUAAUCCAUCUGGAGUUAAUUUUAGUAUAAGGUGUCUGGAAGGGGUCCAGUUUCUGCUUUCUGCACAUGGCCAGCGAGUUUUCCCAACACCAUUUAUUAAACAGGGAAUCCUUUCCCCAUUGCUUGUUUUUGUCAGGUUUAUCAAAGAUUGUAUAGUUGUAGAUAUGCUGUGUUGCCUCCGAUGCCUCUGUUUUGUUCCAUUGGUCUAUAUCUCUGUUUUGGUACCAGUACCAUGCUGUUUUGAUUACUGUAGCCUUGUAGUAUAGUUUGAAAUCCAGUGGUGUGAUGCCCCCCGCUGUGUUCUUUUUGCUUAGAAUUGACUUGGCUAUGCGGGCUCUCUAUGGGUUCCAUAUGAAGUUCAAGGUAGUUUUUUCCAGUUCUGUGAAGAAAGUCAAUGGUAGCUUGAUGGGGAUAGCGUUGAUUCUGUAAAUUACUUUGGGCAGGAUAGCCAUUUUUAUGAUAUUAAUUCUUUCUAACCAUGAACAUGGAAUGUUUCUCCAUCUGUUUGUAUCCUCUUUUAUUUUGCUGAGCAGUGGUUUGUAGUUCUCCUUGAAGAGGUCCCUUACGUUCCUUGUGAGUUGUAUUCCUAGGUAUUUUAUUCUUUUUGUAGCAAUUGUGAAUGGCAGUUCGUUCUUGAUUUGGCUUUCUUUAAGUCUGUUAUUGGUGUAGAGGAAUGCUUGUGAUAUUUGCACAUUGAUUUUAUAUCCUGAGACUUUGCUGAAGUUGCUUAUCAGUUUCAGGAGGUUUUGGGCUGAGGCGAUGGGGUCUUCUAGGUAUACUAUCAUGUCGUCUGCAAAUAGAGACAAUUUGGCUUCCACCUUUGCUAUUUGAAUACCCUGUAUUUCUUUUUCUUGCCUGAUUGCUCUGGCUAGAACUUCCAGUACUAUAUUGAAUAGGAGUGGUGAAAGAGGGCAUCCUUGUCUAGUGCCAGAUUUCAAAGGGAGUGCUUCCAGUUUUUGCCCAUUAAGUAUGAUAUUGGCUGUUGGUUUGUCAUAAAUAGCUUUUAUUACUUUGAGAUACGUGCCAUCGAUACCAAGUUUAUUGAGGGUUUUUAGCAUAAAGGGCUGUUGAAUUUUGUCAAAUGCCUUCUCUGCGUCAAUUGAGAUAAUCAUGUGAUUUUUGUUUUUGGUUCUGUUUAUGUGGUGAAUUACAUUUAUAGACUUGUGUAUGUUGAACCAGCCUUGCAUCCCUGGGAUGAAUCCUACUUGAUCAUGAUGGAUAAGUUUUUUGAUGUGCCGUUGCAAUUGGCUUGCCAGUAUUUUAUUGAAGAUUUUUGCAUCUAUGUUCAUCAAGGAUAUUGGCCUGAAGUUUUCUUUUCUUGUUGGGUCUCUGCCGGGUUUUGGUAACAGGAUGAUGUUGGUCUCAUAAAAUGAUUUGGGAAGGAUUCCUUCUUUUUGGAUUAUUUGGAAUAGUUUUAGAAGGAAUGGUACCAGCUCCUCUUUGUGUGUCUGGUAGAAUUCGGCUGUGAACCCAUCUGGACCUGGGCUUUUUUUGUGUGGUAGGCUCUUAAUUGCAGCCUUGACUUCAGACCGUGUUACUGGUCUAUUCAUAGUUUCAGCUUCCUCCUGGUUUAGGCUUGGGAGGACACAGGUGUCCAGGAAUUUAUCCAUUUCUUCCAGGUUUACUAGUUUAUGUGCAUAGAGUUGUUUGUAAUAUUCUCUGAUGAUGGUUUGAAUUUCUGUGGGAUCUGUGGGGAUUUCCCGUUGAUCGUUUUUUAUUGCAUCUAUUUGGUUGUUCUCUCUUUUCUUUUUUAUCAGUCUGGCUAGUGGUCUGUCUAUUUUGUUGAUCUUUUCAAAAAACCAGCUCUUGGAUUUAUUGAUUUUUUGAAGGGUUGUUUGUGUCUCUAUCUCCUUCAGUUCUGCUCUGAUCUUAGUUAUUUCUUGUCUUCUGCUAGGUUUUGAGUUUUUUUUAUCUUGCUCCUCUAGCUCUUUCAGUUUUGAUGAUAGCGUAUCAAUUUUAGAUUUCUCCACUCUUCUCAUAUGGGCACUUAUUGCUAUAUAUUUUCCUCUAGAGACUGCUUUAAAUGUGUCCCAGAGAUUCUGGUAUGUUGUGUCUUCAUUCUCGUUGGUUUCGAAGAACUUCUUUAUUUCUGCCUUCAUUUCGUUGUUUAUCCAGUCAACAUUCAGGAGCCAGUUGUUCAGUUUCCAUGAAGCUGUGUGGUUCUGGGUUAGUUUCUGAAUUCUGAGUUAUAACUUGAUUGCACUAUGGUCUGAGAGACUGUUUGUUAUGAUUUCAGUUGUUUUCCAUUUGCUUAGGAGUGCUUUACUUCCAAUUAUGUGGUCAAAGUAGGUGUGAUGUGGUGCUGAGAAGAAUGUAUAUUCUGUGGUUUUGGGGUGGAGAGUUCUGUAAAUGUCUAUCAGGUUUGUUUGUUCCAGGUCUGAGUUCAAGCCCUGGAUAUCCUUGUUAAUUUUCUGUCUGGUUGAUCUGUCUAAUACUGACAGUGGAGUGUUAAAGUCUCCCAAUAUUAUUGUGUGGGAAUCUGUCUCUGUAAGUCAUUAAGAACUUACCUUAUGUAUCUGGGUGCUCCUGUAUUGGGUCCAUAUAUAUUUAGGAUCAUUAGCUCUUCUUGUUACAUCGAUCCUUUUACCAUUAUGUAAUGUCCUUCUUUGUCUCUUUUGAUCUUUUUUGCUUUAAAGUCUAUUUUAUCAGAGAUGAGAAUUGCAACUCCUGCUUUUUUUUGCUCUUCAUUUGCUUGUUAAAUCUUCCUCCAUCCCUUUAUUUUGAGCCUUUAUGUAUCCUUGCAUGUGAGAUUGAUUUCCUGGAUAUAGCAUACUGAUGGGUUUUGGUGUUUUAUCCAAUUUGCCAGUCUGUGUCUUUUGAUUGGUGCAUUUAGCCCAUUUACAUUUAGGGUUAAUAUUGUUAUGUGUGAAUUUGAUACUGCCAUUUUGAUGCUAGCUGGCUGUUUUGCCUGUCAGUUGAUGUAGAUUCUUCUUUUUGUUGAUGCUCUUUAGCAUUUAGUGUGUUUUUGGAAUGGCUGGUACUGGUUGUUCCUUUCUAUGUGUAGUGCCUCUUUCAGGAGCUCUUGUAAAGCAGGCCUGGUGGUGACAAAAUCUCUGAGUACUUGCUUGUUCUCAAAGGAUUUUAUUUUUCCUUCACUUAUGAAGCUCAGUUUGGCUGGCUAUGUAAUUCUGGGUUGAAAGUUCUUUUCUUUAAGGAUGUUGAAUAUUGGCCCCCACUCUCUUCUGGCUUGUAGAGUUUCUGCUGAGAGAUCUGCUGUGAGUCUGAUGGGCUUCCCUUUGUGAGUGACCCGACCUUUCUCUCUGGCUGCCCUUAGUAUUUUCUCCUUCAUUUCAACCCUAGUGAAUCUGAUAAUUAUGUGCCUUGGGGUUGCUCUUCUUACGGAGUAUCUUUAUGGUGUUCUCUGUAUUUCCUGGAUUUGAGUGUUGGCCUGCCUUGCUAGGUUGGGGAAAUUUACCUGAAUAAUAUCCUGAAGAGUAUUUUCCAGCUUGAAUUCGUUCUUUUUGUCACCUUCUGGUGCACCUAUCAAACGUAGGUUAGGUCUCUUCACAUAGUCCCACAUUUCUUCGAGAGUUUGUUCAUUCCUUUUUGCGUUUUUUUCUCUAAUCUUGGUUUCUCAUUUUAUUUCAUUGAGUUGAUCUUUAACUUCUGAUAUUCUUUCUUCUGCUUGGUCACUUCGGCUGUUGAAACUUGUGCCUGCUUCGUGAAGUUCUCGUGUUGUGUUUUCCAACUCCUUCAGUUCAUUCAUAUUCCUCUCUAAGUUAUCCAUUCUUGUUAUCAUUUCCUCGAAUCUUUUUUCAAAACUUUUUUGAAGGUUCUUAGUUUCUUUGCAUUGAUUUAGAACAUGUUCUUUUAGCUCACAGAAGUUUCUCAUUACCCACCUUCUGAAGUCUAAUUCCAUCAUUUCGUCACAGUCAUUCUCCGUCCAGCUUUGUCCCUUGCUGGUUAGGAGUUUUGGUCCUUUGUAGGAGGCGAGGUGUUCUGGUUUCAGGUGUUUUUCUCCUUUUUGCGCUGGUUUCUUCCCAUCUUUGUGGAUUUAUCCACCUGUCGUCUGAGUAGUUGCUGACUUUUCGAUUGGGUCUCUGAGUGGACGCCCAGAUUGUUGAUGAUGAGGUAUUUCUGUUACUUGGUUUUCCUUCUACCAAUCUAGCCCCUGCACUGUACGACUGCUGAGGUCCACUCCAAGUUCUGCUUGUCUGGGGUACACCUGUAGCAGCUGCGGAACAGUGAGGGAUGCUACCAGUUUCUUCUUCUGCUAUCUUUGUCCCAGAAUGAUGCCCACCAAAUGUCAGUCUGAUCAGUUCUUUUUGUGGUGACUCUUUGGAUAUACAGGGGUCAGGGAGCUGCUUGAGGAGACGGUCUGUACUUUAUAGGAGCUCAAGUGCUGAGCUGUGAGCUCCGUUGUUCAUUCAGGGCUGUUAGGCUGCUGCGUUUAAGUCUGCUGCAGCAGAGCUUAUAAAACCUCUUUUUUUCCUCAGAUGCUGUGUCUCGGGGAGUUGGGGCUUUCUUUAUGAGUGUCCAUUGCACUUUCCUGCCCAGCUAGGAGGCAGUCUAAUCACUAUUUGCCUGCCGAGGCUCCACCCUGCUGCCAUGGGCUCCACCCUGCGGCAGAGUCUCAUUUUAAUGGCGGGUUGCCUCGGCAACGGCAGGCUGCAUCAGCAACGGCAGGCUGCAUCAGCAAUGGGAGUGUACCUCAGUAGGGGCGGAUUGCCUCGGUAAUGGCGGACGCCCCUUCCCCCACCGAGCUGCACCGUCCUGGGUUCAGCUGUGCCCCCAGUGAAACUCUCCACCCAGAGUGUUUCGAAUCGCCAUUUUUUUUUGUCCCUGUGGGGGUGAAACCCACUGCUCCUGCUCACCUGGCUCCCUGCCUCAGAGCAGCUUUCUUUUUUUUUUUUUUUUUUUUAUGUUGAACGGUUGGCUCUCUCCCAGGUGUUUCAGUCACCUGCUGUUAGGGCACAGGGAUCUGUGUGAUUUCCCGUGCAGCGACCCACUGCGCUGGCUCAAAUGCUGCUUCCCAGGAAUCUCCUGGUCUGGCUCACUGUCCAAGUCCUGUUUAAUCAGAUGGAUAUGCUAAUCUGCCCCUCCAAAUCUCAGAGUGCCGCUGUGCUGCGGCGCCAGCCGAAAUGGCUGCACCAGCCAAAGCAGCUGCGCUGGUGUCCCGUGUCUCUCCUACACCUGGGAAUUUCCCCAUUCUGUGGGCAACAAAGAUCCGUCUGGAAAUGCGGCUUUGACUUACCCUCUGCGCAUUCACUGAGAGCUGCAAUCCUGAGUUGUUCUUACCGCGCCAUCUUGAAUCCUGGGUGCCAGUCAUUUUUUUUAAGGAGCAUUUCAGAUGUAUACAAAAAUAAAAUAGGGGCCAGGUGCGGUGGCUCACACUUACAACCCCAACACUUUGGGAGGCCAAGGCAGGUGGAUCACAAGGUCAAGAGAUCAAGACCAGCCUGGUCAACAUGGUGAAACCCUGUCUCUACUAAAAAUACAAAGUUAGUUGGACAUGGUGGCUCACGCCUAUAGUCCCAGCUACUUGGGAGGCUGUGGCAGGAGAAUUGCUUGAACUCAGGAGGUGGAGGUUGCAGUGAGCCGAGAUUGCGCCAUUGCACUCCAGCCUGGGUAACAAGCGAUACUCCAUCUAAAAAUAAAUAAAUAAAUAAAAUAGAGUAAUGAACUUCCCUGUACCCAUCACCCAUCUUCAGUAUUGCAGGCUCACACCUGUUAUCCCAGCACUUUGGGAGGCUGAAACAGAUAGAUCACCUGUGGUUAGGAAUUUGAGACCAGCCUGGCCAACAUGGUGCAACCCCAUUUUUACUAAAAAUAUAAAAAUUAGCCAAGCGUGGUGGCACGUGCCUGUAGUCCUAGUUACUCAGGAGGUUGAGGUGGGAGAAUUGCUUAUAUCUGGGAGGUGAAAGUUUUGGUAAGCUGAGAUUAUUCCACUGCACUCUAGCCUGGGUGACAGAGUGAGACUCUAUGGCAAAAUAUAUAUAUAUAUAUAUUUAUAUGUGAGGAACAUAGGAUUAUGAGGAUAUUUCCUUUUUUCUAUUUAGGUUUUGGAGUGGUGUACUUAUUGAAAAAUUGCCUAUUAAUUAAAGUUUCAUGUCUGAGACUUUUCAUAUAAAUUUUGACUUCUUUUAUUAAAGAGGAUUGUUAGUAACUUUUCAAAAUUUUAUUAGGAUAUAACUAGGUUUAGACCAAUGGAGAAAACGGAGUAGCUUGUGGUAUUUCUUAUAUUCAUUGAUUAGUGAUUGAUUACUUUUUAAAAGCUGUUUGCUCUGAAUUCUUUGAGAAAGAUCUGUAGAAAUAUUUUCUUUUAUUGAAAUAACACUGGUUUUCUCAUUUUGUGAGCUACAAAUGAGUUCACAGUUUAAUUCAAAGUUCAGUAGUCAAUAUUUAGUACUUUCUAUAUGUCAGGGGUCUUAGUCAUAUGUAAAUAUGUCUUAUAAACAUUAGAGCACAUUUAACAGAUGUAUGUCGUUAAUCAGGUAUUCAAAGAAAGAAGAAAUAAGUAAAUAUCUCUUUUCUAUUUGUAUGUUUGUAGAUUUAAAUAAUUUAUAAGGUUUUGAUGUUUGGAACAUUUAGUUUCUUUAUUUUAGUAGCUUGUCCAUGUUUCUAUUUAUCGAGAGAAGAAAAAAAGCCUCUUCACAGUCAUUAUGAUGAGGUUGCAGUUAUUACUGUCCUCCAAGGUUAGGGCUGAUGUAUUGUAGGUCACAGGGACAGGAUAGGACUUUGUAUCAUGAGAUUCAUGAGGUCAGUGACCAUGUCUGUUACUGUUUACUGUUUUGUCAUAUUCUGGCACAUAAUAGUUUGUCAGGUAUUUAUUUACCAUCCAAUCGAAUGAAUGAACAGAUCUAUAAUUUAAAGAGAGGAGAUAGGCAAAAUAGAAGUAUAAUUUUGAAAUUUACUAUAUCAAUUCUGACUGAAAUAUAUAUAUACAGCCAAUUCGUGGGACUGGAAUAAAAAGUUGCUACACACACACACACACAUACACACACACACACACACACACACACACACACUAGAUCAAGACUCGCUGCAUGUAAUUGUCUGCAGACUAUCCAGUAGAGGGCAGGGUUUUACUUGUGAGGGAAUUUAAUACAGCUUUUUUUUUACCAUCAUGUAAAUGCUUACCUUCCUUAUAAACAUUAUUAUCAUCAAAAUAAGUAAUAUGUUUAUUUUUCUUUAAUUGUUAUAGAAUAUUUGACCAAUGGCUCCUGCUUUUCUUAAAGUUAAGAAAUGAUGCACAUUUUAAAAUAACUUUUCCCUACUUGCAUCCCAGUUUGUAUUGUGCAGGUUAUAAGGUCAUGGUGACAUUUUAGAUUAUGCAUUCCAUCUCAAAUAGUAGUUGAGUUGCUUAUGUUCUCAAAUGACCUUUUUAGGUUAUCUUAUGUGUUUCCAAAGCAGCAUUAGACAUAGGUCUGGAGUGUUGACAGUUGUGAAGAAGUAUAGUGCAAUAAUGCUUCAUCAGAUAAAUAAGCAAUAUCGUAAAGCUUGUCAGCAGAGCACCACAGCAGUCACUCGUGUCAGUUUGAAAAGACAAGGAUGUGUACCCAAAGGAGACGUGUCAGCCUGCUAAGGCACUUAAGGUUUAAUAUCUUUAGGUUUAACAUGUUUGAAUAGGCACUUCUCUCUGUCCUUCCCACUAAGCACAGCAAAAAACACAGGACCUUGUAUGUAAAACAAACAUAAGACUCUGAAAGGUAGAAGACCACUGACCAGCUAGGGACUAGGAGAGUGCAUGGUAUCACGGUAAUACCAGUAAAGACCUAAUGGGGAGCUUGAACUCUUACCCCAACCCAGCACUAUCAGGGUACCUCCCCUACUUUCUACUUUGGGUACUAAAGGCUGAUUGGGGAACAUGAAUUUUUACCCUCAGUUGCUAGUAAUGAAGUAACUGUCCCAUUCUCCUGCUGGCACAGUGUCAUAGAAGGCCUGCUGUGGCUGAAGAUUUAAAUAAGAUACAAACAUUCAUAGUACCCCAAAUAUCCAAAUUUCAAUUUAAAGCCACUCGUAACCAGAAAAGAAUCAGGAAAAUCUCAACUGAAAUGAAAAAUGAACGUCAAUACACACCAACCCCAAGAGAACACAGGCGUUAGAAUUAUCUGAUGAUGAUUUUAAAGUAGCCACCACAAGAAAGCUGAGCAAUUAUAAGCAUGCUUGAAACAAAUGAAAAAGUAGAAAGUCCCAGAAAAGAAAAAAAAAAGCUAUCAGAAGAAACCUAAUGAAAAUUUUAGAACUGAAAAAUGUAAUAACUUAAUUUUUAAAAUGGAAUAGACAGGUUUUAUUUAGAAUGAGGGUGAUAGAGGAAGGAAUUGGUGAACUUGGAAAAAUUAAGAAAAAUUACUCAGUCUGAACAGCUAUGAGAAAAUAGAUGUUAAUCAAAACCCAUAAUUCAGAUAUAAUAUUUGUGUCAUCAUGUGGACAGAAAGAGAGGGGAAAGAGGGUAGGACUGAAAAAAUUUCAAAAAAAAUGGAUGAAAAUUUGGUAAAAGUCAUGAAUCUAUGAUUUCAAGAAGCUGACCGAACCAUAAGUAGAAUAAACCCAAAGAAAUUCAUGCCAAGACAUACUAUAGUCACAUUUCUUAAAACCAAAGGCAAAGAAAAAAUCUUGUAACAGCAGGAGAGAAAUGACACAAAACCUGUACAGAAAAACAGUUUGAAUGACAGUGGAUUUCUCAUCAGCAAACAUGGAGACCAGAAAGAAGUGGCAGAAAUUUUUGAGGACUAGGGAAAUAACUGUCAACCCAGAAUUCCAUAUCCAAUCAAAAUAUAGUUUGAACAGAAAGGAAGGGAAAACCACAAUGCUCUUAGGUGAAGGAAAAGAGAACUUGUCAUCAGUAGACCUACCAUAAAAUAAUGUCUAAAGAAAUUUCCUGAAACAGGAAAGAAAUUAUAAAAGAAAGGAAUAGUGAACAUAAAGAAAGAAGAAAGAACAAUAUAAAGUGUAAAAAUAUAGUAAAUGUAACAAACUUUUUAAAAACUUUUUUGAACGUUGUAAAUUGUGUUUGACUUUUUGCACUGUUUUCAAUUGUAAAAGUCUAGUGUAGUUAUCAAUGUAUGUAGAAGAAAUAUUGAAGACAUUUAUAUUAUAAAUGGAGAGGAGUAAAGGAACUUAAAGGAAGGUAAAGUCUAUACUGGAACUGAUGAAAUGUUGACACCAGUAAAUGUUGAUAAGUUAUAGGUAAUGCAGUCCUUCAGCAGCCACUUUAAAAAGAAUCUAUUCAAAGAGAUGCAGUCAAAAACAUUUUAGAUAAACAAAAAUGGAAUUUUAAAAGAUGUUUAAGUAACCCAUAGGAGGAAGGGAAAAUAAAACUGAUAAAAGCAAUAAAAUGAAAUAACAGAUUUAAGUUUCAACAUAUCAAAGACUACAUUAAACAUAAAUGACCUAAAUUCAUCUAUUAAAAGACAGUGAGUUUUAAAGAUGACACAGUGUGCUGUUUACAGGAAGUAAUUUCAGACAACAAUGUAGGUGAGUUGAGAGUAAAAGGUAGCUUUAUUUAUGCUAAUACAAAACUGAAAACAACCAAAGUGCUUCUCAGUGAUGAAUUGCUAGACAAACUGUUAUAUUCAUACCGUGGAAUACUACUUAGUAAUGAGAAGGAAUGAACUAUUGAUACUUGUAGUAAUUUUAAUGGCUCUUAAGGGCAUUAAGAUGUAUCUUUAAAAAGUCAAUUUCAAAGGACUCAUGUUUCCAUUUAUGUAACAUGGCAAAAUUUUUGAGAUGGAAAAGAAAUUAGUGGUUGUUAGGUGUUGAAUAGUGAGAGGAAGGAAGCUGAGUGUGACUAUAUAUGGGUGGUACAAGAUCUUUGUUGUAGUGACAUAGUUCUGUAUCUUGAUUUUGGUGGCAGUUCCACAAAUGUACAUGUGAUAAAAUGGCAUAGAAUGACACACACACAUUGAACUGGUAUUCCUGAUUUUUAGUGUGUUAUAGUAAUCUAAAAUAUAACCAUUGAGAGAAACUGGGUGAGAGGUAUACUGUACCUCUGUAGUAUUUUUGUAACAUCCUGUAAAUCUAUAAUUAGUUCAGAAUAAAGAGUUUUAAAAAGUAACAAGACGGCUUUGCAGAUGCUGCUGCCGCCGGGAGCCUUGUAGUAUCAGCCAUGGUCAACCCCACUGUGUUCUUUGACAUUGCCGUCAACAGCGAGCCCUUGGGCCGCAUCUCCUUUGAGCGCUUUGCAGAUGAGAUUCCAAAGACAGCAGAAAACUUUUGUGCUCUGAGCACUGGAAAGGAUUUGGUUAUAAGGGUUCCUGCUUUCACAGAAUUAUUCCAGGGUUUAUGUGUCAGGGUGGUGACUUCACAUGCCGUAAUGGCACUGGUGGCAAGUCCAUCUGUGGGGAGAAAUUCGAUGAUGAGAACUUCGUCCUAAAGCAUACAGGUCCUGGCAUCUUGUCCAUGGCAAAUGCUGGACCCAACACAAAUGGUUCCCAGUUUUUCAUCUGCACUGCCAAGACUGGAUGGCAAGCAUGUGGUCUUUGGCAAGGUGAAAGACAUGAUGAGUAUUGUAGAUGCUAGGGAGCACUUUGGGUCCAGGAAUGGCAAGACCAGCAAGAAGAUUACCAUUGCUGACUGUGGACAGCUCUAAUAAGUUUGGCUUACAUUUUAUCUUAACCACCAGACCAUUCCUUCUGUAGCUCAGGAGAGUACCCCUCCACCCCAUUUGUAUCCUAGAAUCUGUGCUUUCGCUGCAGUUCCCUUUGGGUUCCAUGUUUUCCUUGUUCCCUUCCUUGCCUAGCUGGAUUGCAGAGUUAAGUUUAUGAUUAUGAAAUAAAGACUAAAUAACAACAACAACAACAACAAAAGUAAAAAGGCCUGUAGUCCUAGCUACUCAGAAGAUUGAGGCAGGAAGAUUUUUUGAGCCCAGGAGUUCAAGGAUACAGUGAGCUAUGGUCAUCCCACAGCACUCCAGCCUGGGCAACAGAGGAAGACCCUGUCUCUAUUUGGCUGGGGGGGGAAGAUGAAUUAUAAGCAGGAAGAGUUUGAAUUCUUUUUUCUUCUUUUGAAACAGUCUUGCUUUGUCACCCAGGCUAGAAUGCAGUGAUACCAUCUCAACUCACUGCAGUGCAACCUCCACCUCCCAGGUUCAGGUGAUUCUCCUGCCUCAGCCUCCUGAGUAGCCAGGAUUAUAGGUGCGUGCCACCACACCUGGCUAAUUUUUUGUAUUUUUAGUAGAGAUGGUGUUUCACCGUGUUAGCCAGGAUGGUCUGGAUCUCCUUACCUUGUGAUCCGCCCACCUCAGCCUCCCAACAUGCUAGGAUUACAGGCUGAGCCACUGUGCCUGGCCAAGUUUGAAUAUUUUAAACAAAUGCAUUAAUAUAUUGUACACAUAUUCAGGUAUAGAGAAUCCAGUAUCUUUAGUGUGUACUUAAAAUCAUCAAAUGUGAAUAUAUGAAUAUAUGAUUUUUUUAAAAUUUAGUUUUGAGUUAAAGAGGCAGAUUAUAAAGAGGGAGCCAUUUGACUACUCUAAACUCUUAGUGUUUUACCUUUCUUUUAAAAAAAGAAAUCUACUUUAGAAGAUGAGGAUUUAGCUAUUAUUCUCAUCUUCCUCACUACCAUAAAUGCAAACUUCAUUUCUGCCUCCCCAUUUUCUCACUAUGGUUUUUAUAUUUAUUUCAAUUACAUCAAUAUUCUGUUUUUUCAGUUGGAUAGUAUAAACACUAUUCAUACCUGGGCUGUGAUUGGUUUUCCUCUCUUGUUCAACUUUUUGUUUUCUCCAGAAUUAAUAAUUGUCUUUUGUUUACUUACUUAAUUUUCUAUAUGCUUAUGAUUAAUUGAAUUCCCAACUCCCUGAAUUGUAAAUGUCUUUCUGUUCAUUCUGAAUAUGUUUACUCACUAUCUUAAUUUAAAAAAAGGAAGUAAACAUAGGUUGGGUUUUAGAAUUUUGGUAUAAGGAAAAUUCUUAGUGUUAGAAUUUACCAGCAAAAUCAGAGCAAAUACUCUUUGUUACUUUUUCUAUUUACACACAUACCCUGUCCAGCUACAGAUAAGCAAAUGGUUUACCCUUACUUCAGCUUAGUUGCUGAUUUUUGUCAGGAGUCUGUUUCUUCAUCGAUUCCAAACACUGGUCACAUAGAGAAGUAGGAAGAGCUGUGGCAUAGAGAUGAGAACACUUAGAUUCUUGUUCUGAGUUAGGUUUUUUUUUUUUUUGAGACGGAGUUUUGCUCUUCUUAACCCAGGCUGGAGUGCAAUGGCACGAUCUUGGCUCACGGCAACCUCCGCCUCCUGGUUCAGGCAAUUCUCCUGCCUCAGCCUCCAGAGUAGCUGGGAUUACAGGCAUGUGCCACCAUGCCCAGCUAAUUUUCUGAGUUAGUUUUAAUUGACCUCAAUGUAGGAUCAUCAGGUAACCUCCUUGGCCUUAGUUUUCUUUUCUCUAUAAUAGUGACAAGAUCAGACUAGAUUAUAACUGAGGUCUCUUCCAGUUAAAAUGUGAUUUCAAAUAGAUAAAGUAUUUACUUAAAUCCUGACAGUAUAUGUAGUAUCUUUAAAUUAAGAAUGUUGUCAUUUCCACUACUUUUAUUUUUUUAACUUUUAUUUUUUGAGACAGAAUCUCACUCUGUUGCCAGGUGCCAGGCUGGAGUGCAGUGGCCUGAUCUCGGCUAACUGCAACCUCCGCCUCCUGGGUUCAAGCAAUUCCCCUGCCUCAGCCUCCCAAGUAGCUGGGACUACAGGCACGCGCCACCAUGCCCAGCUAAUUUUUGUAUUUUUAGUAGAGACAGGAUUUCACUGUGUUGGCCAGGAUGGUCUCUAUCUCUUGACCUUGUGAUCCGCCUGCCUUGGCCUCCUAGAGUGCUGGAUUUACAUGCAUGAGCUACCACAGCUGGCCCAUUUCCACUUUUUUUUUUUUUUUUUUUUUUUUUUGAGACAGAGUCUUGCUCUGUCGCCAGGCACCAGGCUGGCGUGCAGUGGCAAUCUCGGCUCACUGCAACCUCCGCCUCCCGGGUUCAAGCAAUUCUCCUGCCUCAGCCUCCUGAGUAGCUGAAACUACAGGCGCACACCACCAUGCCCAGCUAAUUUUUGCAUUUUUAAUAGAGACGGUUUCACCAUGUUGGCCAGGAUGGUCUCCAUUUCUUGACCUCGUGAUCCGCCCACCUCCGCCUCCCAGGGUGUUGGGAUUACAGGCGUGAGCCACUGUGCCCGGCCAUUUCCACUACUUUUAAAGAAAUACCCUGAUGUUUAGAAAGAAAUUAGAUUAACUGUAAUCCCAGCACUUUGGGAGGCCAAGGCGGGUGGAUCACGAGGUCAAGAGAUCGAGACCAUCCUGGUCAACAUGGUGAAACCCCGUCUCUACUAAAAAUACAAAAACUUAGCUGGGCAUGGUGGCGCGUGCCUGUAGUUUCAGCUACUCAGGAGGCUGAGGCAGGAGAAUUGCUUGAACCCGGGAGGCGGAGGUUGCAGUGAGCCGAGAUUGCCACUGCACUCCAGCCUGGGUAACAAGAGCAAAACUCCGUCUCAAAAAAAAAAAGGAAAGAAAGAAAUUAGAUUAAAAGGUGUUGUAGAGAUGGGAAAUUUUACAAAAGACAAAAUGGGCCAUACAUGGCAUGUUUGUUGUGCUUCAAAUUAUGAUAUGAGAAUUGUGGUUUUCAUUUUCCAAGGGUGUCUAUUCGAGAAAUUCUAAGACCAUCAGAAACCUCAUUGUUUAUUACCCAAUGGAUUAGAUUUGACCCAUAGAGUAUUCUCUGAAGUAACUAAUGUGGCUCUUAUGGAGAUUUCUUCAAUUGUAGACUUGAAGCUAGAUGGAUAUAUGGCAGCUUCUAAAAGAGUCCUUGGUGGUCUAGCAGUUUUUAGUUGAUAGAACCGAGGACAGAAUGUACUGUUUUCUAUUUGCAAGUGUUUUACUUUAUUGUAAAUGUUGUGUGAGGGGUAUUUGAUAUUUGGGAUACUUGAAUUUUUUUUCAGAGGGCAUGAAGGUGAAUUACCUUAAUGCCAGAUGUACAUUUGGAAAUGAAUUUGUAAGUUUAUUUGUAUACACCUGUUGACAUACCUUUACAUACGUUUGGUGAUGCUGAUAGUGUGCCACUUUACAGGAUUCCAUGAAAAGCAGAUGUGUAAUGUCAUUUCAUAACAAACAUAUUCAUUAGUUAUUAUAUUUACUGGUUAUUAUUAUUCACA